CGGGGUCAGGCGAGGAAACUGAGGCCGGCUCUCUUGACCGCCAACGCAGCCCCUGCGGGGAUGGGACCUAGGACGAGAUUCCACUCCUUCCCCACCUGUAAAAUGGGCCAACCCAUUAGGGCUAAGCCCAUAAAAGCACUUAGCACCGUGCCUGAUUUAUGCUGAGUUUACAGGCCAGGCUAAUGCUGCUUAGGCACCACCACCCCACUUUACAGAGGAGGAACCCCGCGGGGGAAAGGAUGACUACCUUGCGGGAGAUCACUCAGCUAAGAAUGUUUAUGUAUUUGGGAAGAAGAUUCUCGAACUUGAAAGCACAAACUCCAGAACCACUUGGCCUGAGCUCAAAUUCUGACUCUGCCACUUAUUCUUGAAGCACAUUUAAGACCUCUGUGUACCCAGUUCCCUCAUCUGAAAAUUGGAAGAGCAGAAGUUGUCUUGGAGAUCGUUGAUGGAUGGCCACAGCUCUUCCUCUACCAGCUCGCAGUACACCUGUUGUGUACGUGCGUAAGCCUGCGCACGGACCUCCCACGUGACCGAUGGCUGUCUCCUUCCAGGCCUGGGAAAUCACCACUAAGCACUCAAGGUCUAAUUCAGAGACCACUUGCCCCAGGGAGCCUCCCCAGAGUCCCCAAAUGCAUCAGUGAUAAUCCUUUCCUCCCCUGCGUCCGCACAAUAAUUGCCUUUUCUAAGACCUGCAGCCUCUUCCUUGCCCUACUCCAGAUCCAGGUCUUUGCAGAAGCGUUUCUGAGAUCUUGGGCUCUUCCAACCCGGCCCCCCCCCGUCCCCCUCCACACUUUUGCAGAAUGGAAAAGAGGGAGAAUUUUUGGGCCCUAAGUGGCCGCUGGAUAAGCUAAUUGUUCACCGGAGGACGGUGGCUUUUGAAGGCAGAAGAACUGGGGAAUUUCGUGGGGUGGUGGGCAGGUGUGGAGGAAGUGACAGUCUCCUGGGCCCGCGCGUGAGUGGAAGUGGCCGACAUGGGCCGCAGGGCGAGGUUUAAGUAAAAAGACUGCCCCGGGAAUGCGUGUGAUGCCCGCAGGAACGGCCAGACCUGCAGCCCAGCGCCCCCGCCUGGGCGCGGCCAGUGCAGCCGCAGGUCCUUUUCCGG